ACCCGUUCAAUUGGACUAUUGCGCCGUGAGCAGGCCGGAAUCCUCGCCGCCGACGAGUUCGCCCGCCUGCGCACAUGGACCGACCUACUCCGACCAUUGCCAAAGACGAUCCAUACAUCGGUGUGACCGUCAAGACCACGUAUAGUUCAUAGGGAUGACCGUUAUGAAUGGGAGGACAAGCAUCAUCCAAUGGGUGUCUUCUCACUAGUGCCAGAGCGUGGAAGGAUCGCCCCUUGGCCGGGACAGGGACACAUCCUGAUGUGAGAGACCGACCCUAGCCUAGGUAGUAUUAGCAUACAUAGAACCAGAGAAUUGAGUUGUCUUGUCACAGGAAACCGGAGAGCAGGAAACAGAACGGACCUUGUAAGAAACCUCCCAUCACCACACCAAGGAGAAGGAAGCUAAGAAAAAGGAACCCUUCUUGGAUUGUCUUGUCUAUGAAACCUAUCCUUACUAGCUAGGAAUCUGUCUUUUCACCGGAAACCUUGCUUGUCUUAGUCAUGAGUGUGUGUAGCCCAUCCCAUGUAUUUGCUUCUCCUGAUGUAGAAUCGCGAUCUGGAUAGGCUCUAUUCUCACCUGCACCAGAAAGAAUAGUUGUCUGUCUAGUCUAGAGCCGCAAACUGCUUGCCCUCCCUUCUCCCGCUUUCUAUAAUAGUCAAAGUAAGUGGUAGUUCUCGGUUCCUUCCUGGGCUUGUAGAAGUAGAAGUGAGUAUACCAUCUCAAUAUCGCCAUCUCAAUCUCAAUAGAAGGUUGACUGCUUGAUAUGUCAGCUGGUCUAAGUCUUCUCAUCUCAGUUAGGAAAGGAAGUAGUCUCAUCUCAGUUAGCGAUGUGAAGCGGACCGCUCUCUCGCGAGCUCCCCUACGGGAUUUAGAGGCGCGUGGAAUAGUGCCGUUCAAAAGUAUGAUUCCAUUCCAAGAAAGAGAUCCGGCACAACACUGGCAUUUCCCUCCUCCUCUUCUUUAGCACUGGCCAGGUUCCAUACGGAUGUACGUACCCUUCCGUUCAGAAAAGACAGUGGCAUUCCCAUUGGCGCAUAGAGAAAUGUUGUUCUUCUUCCAGUAAUGAAUGGAAAGCAUUUGAGGUGUGCUAUGCCAAGAUGAUCCGAACAGGCUGGGGAUGGGGAUACAAUAGCGCCAUGUUUUCCAUUCUUUAAGAAAGGACGGUCGUAUCCCGGUGACCUUGCCAGCUGCAGUGGGGUCUCCUGGUAUGAAAGACUCACUUCGUUGCAUUGCUCGCAGACUGGAAUGCAAACCCGCAAGUUAGCUCCGUAAAUAAUUGGCGACAGGAAAACAAACUUUCUAGAAAAUGGAUCCUAAGGAAAGUAAACGUCAUUUUCGGGAACUAGUUGCACUCUGUCCCCUAUCCUACCACUAGUAGAUCCCCUAUGCCGGAGCAUGAACAGAGAAAGCAGCCGUCUAGUCUAGUCCUUGUCCCGGUAGUAUGAAGUUUGAAUGGUCCAUCGUGGAGCUCGACCUUGUUGAGUAGUAGCUUUCAAGCCUCCCUGAAAAGUGGAAAGCGAUAGCAAAUACCUCAUAGGAUCUCUUUAAACGGGGUGCUUUUCCUUAGCGGCCUUUUUCUUUCACGUUUUGCCUUAGUCACAAUAGUUGUCAUGAACCCAGUAGGAAUCCCAUAUCUAUAUGAGCAGAGCAUAGAGUCUUUUAACUUUUUUCUAAUUGGCGCAGAGCGUUGGCCUAAGCUUACUCCAUAAAAUCACUAUUUGCUAUCGCUUGCUUUGGCUAUAGGGGGGCAGGCUGCCAUCAUGGUUAGUUUGACUUAACUAGUUCAUUGCGAGUACAUUCUUUAUAUACAUAUGAUACAACCAUAUCUAAAUGGAACUUUUGUCACUAUGCUCUGCUCUAUAGGGAGAAUCCACUUAUUACUUACUUGUUUUUAGACUACUUCCCUGUAGUCUUGACUCGCAUAUAGACAGUGAACUUGUCCUAUCAACGACAAGUGGAAUGCAAUCAUGGCUUCUUUUUCAUGCAGUGAUUGAAUGAGGGAAAUGCAGUGAAAUGAAUGCCCGGAUGCCUGGACGAGGGAGAGCUUUUAGCUCGAAUGAGGAAGAGCGGCUUGGUUGGAUAGGGCUAGGGUUAGUGACACGGGAUAGGACAGAUGCGUAACGUUGAGGCUAACAAGUCUAGAUAGAAAGAAGUAUGGAACAGACCAUUGAAGGAGAACGCUAGGACCGAUAUAUCCGUAUUUCAUAGAGCUAGAUAGGCGAGCGAAACAAGUAGUAGUUUUGAGUUCAAAAUAGAAGAUAAGCGUUUAGUCAAGAUACGUUUAUUUAAAGGAUAGGCAUGGGAAUAGCUGAUAGACAUUUGUGCAAGGGCAACAAGUAGUAGUUGGAUAUGAACCACCCACGGAUAGCCAGGAAUAGAACUAGCAAGGUAGCUUGACAUGGUUUGUUAAGAAGUACCCUGCGUAGCUUUAGUAGGUGUUUGAGUAGGCCGCUAAGGAGCGAAGCGUUGUUCUAAACACCAAUGGGAUGAGAUGGUUCCAAUACAAGCUCUUCGAUCUCUGUCUGCAGGAAGGUGACUCCCAUACCUUCUUUUUCCACCAGUAGAAAUCCGAGGGAUCCUGCGGAGAAAUCUUAGUAUCACAGGAGAGUGGAUCGUAUAUCACGAUUCGUAAGCCUCUGAAAGGCUUCAGCUGUCAGUCGAUCGUCUGGGACACAGAUUCGCUCUACGAACUGGAAUGUACCAGCAGAGCCUUAUUGCCCCCUGAGCCCAACGAACCUCCUCAAUAGCAGAUAAGGGCUCGGUAGAUCAAUAUCUGCAUGAAUAGCCGCUGCAUAAACAACUCUAGCUCUAACUCAAGAAAAGAACUAGAAAGAACAAAAGAAGAGUUUCUCCUCUGCAAAGUAACAGCAAGUGAAAUUAGCUCCCUGUCGGGAUAGAGAUUCUCUAUUAUCUUGAACUCACUCACCAAUACUUUAAGAUCGUCAAUAGCACACUACCUCUCCAAGGCAGUGCACUAUUUCCUCAACAAAAGAGAAGAAGUAAACGAUUGCCAGGUUGUAAGCACUUUGAGAUAUUGGCCUUCGGCUUAAGAUAGUUACUUGACUUAAAAGCAUUCUCGAGAUCCUUAUCAUUUAAGGAACAAGAAGAGAUUGUCUACUCUCGGCAAUGUAAGAAGGUUCGUGAAAUAGCACCCUGUCGGGGAUCAAGAUUCUCUAUUAUCCCAUCCACAUUCCCACUCUCCUUAUUCAUACAUCAGUUCAGCUACAACAAAGAAGAUAUCCUUCCCAUUUGUCUUGUCAGUCUUUCAUUUCUUUGGUUUAGUUAGGAAUAGGCAUGAACUAGGCUAGCAGUUGUCACCAAAGCAAGGGACUAGCUUUUUCUCCAAGGGGUCAUAUCAACUUGACUUGUAUCCGGUAGAAGCUUUCUCUUUGGAUUGAGAUUCCAGAAGUUCCGGGAAAAGAGAUUCAAGCACAGAAUCCACCAGGAAAAAGAUAUUCCUGCAGAGCAGCUGUGGGCCAAGAGUCAAAGAAUGAAUUUGGCCUAGACCUAGCGUCAAAGUAAAGAAUUGAAGCGGAAGCCGACUUGGACUUAAACUUAGUUGAGAGUGGUCUCUUUUUUAAUCUCGUAUGUAUCUCCUGCAGGGAUCGGGCUAGUUGCAUUACUCGAAAAGGAAGCAUAAUCGGAAGAACCUGUCGUGUAGUGCCUGCGUCUAUUGUCCUCUGGCAGGUGAAGUGGUUGCAUUCGCCGGGCUUAGGCCAAUCUCCAGAUCCGAGUAGAGAGUGGAAUUAUUUCUUUUCUUCCCAAGACUUCAUCAUUCAAUAUGCGGGCCGGGUUGGAUAACCAAAUCAUUUCUAUCAAGUGGAUUCCCUUAUCUAUAUAGGCAUCCAGUAGCCAAGUCUGUUUUCCGAUACGCCAGACCAGCUUCCUGAGUAGAAUACGAAAGAAAGGCCAUUCCCUGGAUCCUCUAGCAUCACUAGCUGUAAGCACUUUCAAGUACGGCACUAUUUCUUGCUUGCAUUGAUCAAGUUCAAGACCAAUCGGAUGUAAGGAGGCUAAAAGCGGCCUCAUUCGGUGAUACGUGAAUGUCAAUCACUUGAAAGCACCUAUCUCAUCCCAGCACGGGAAGAUAUCUCUAAGCAAUUGAACUAGAUCUCAGUACCGUCUCUCCACCUAGGCGGCAAUAUCCUCAAAGCGAAAUUCUUUCUAUUGGUAUAUACCUACACAUACACACACACAUUCUAUGCUAUGCCUAUGCUAUGGACAAAACAAAUCGUGAAGCAUAUUUUGAACUUGAACUAAAGCUCGAGGCAGAACCAUCGUGGUAUCCAUAACCACCUCCAGCUAUCCAGAUCCAUUCCAUAUUAGAGGGACUUUGAAGGCUUAUUCCGUUAGUGAGCUUGUGAAGGCAAGGCGUUUAGGCGUCGGUUUCUUACGAGAUAAGAUAUGUAUGCCGGUCCAACUAAAGCAAGGGUGGUUUUGAGCUUGGGUUGAAAGCUAGGUAGGGCUUUUAUGCUUGAAGUGCGGUGCCAAGAGUGGAAUAUCAAGUUCUGCUAGCAAAGAAAGAAUCGAAUGUUGGACUGGACUAUAGUAGGUCUAUUAGACUAUUCUUACUAGAGGGUCCCCUAAAACUGGCAUAACCGUCAAGGUGCCUGGCAAGUCAGAAGUCGCAGGAUUGCAUUAUAAAGGGCUAAAGCGAGUUCACGUCAUAGUAGAGCAAAUUCUUGCCAUAAGGUAUAUAUACAUACAUCAGCAUGGCCACCGUAGUAGCCAGCCCGAAUGAAGCUGUCUGCGUUAACGCUUGGUAUAUAGAUGCGCGCCUGCUCAUCAUAAUAGUGCGCUCUGAAGAUAGUCAUUGCCAAAGACGAGAUCGUUAGCACACGCGUGAUAUUUAUCCUUAUCCCGUAGCAUAGCAUAGUUGGCUAUCUCUAUUUCUUGAGCCUUCUGCAGGACAGCGCCUAAUAUCAGGAUAUCCUGGUCUAGGUAGGCGGCUAAAUACUCUUUUCUUCGCUCGGCUAUCAAUUAGAGGCGAGGGUCACACCUUUGUGGUCAAUCGUUCCCUUUCCUCAACCUAUUCAAAAAGACCUAUCUCUGUGCUGCAUGCUUAGAGCUAAAGGUAUUGGACCCAAGGAGUAAGUGACCAAGUAGGUUUUUGGUAGUAAAAGAUUGGAGGAAGAGGCCGCCUAAAUCAGAUCACAGGAUUGACUAGAUCUUUCCGUUUCCGUUUGAGGAAUGGCCAAAGCUCCAUCCAUAGAGAGGACAAGCAUCAUCCAAUGGGUGUCUUCUCACUAGUGCCAGAGCGUGGAAGGAUCGCCCCUUGGCCGGGACAGGGACACAUCCUGAUGUGAGAGACCGACCCUAGCCUAGGUAGUAUUAGCAUACAUAGAACCAGAGAAUCGAGUUGUCUUGUCACAGGAAACCGGAGAGCAGGAAACAGAACGGACCUUGUAAGAAACCUCCCAUCACCACACCAAGG
rnacentral:lncRNA from 1 species